CCUACGGGUGGCAGCAGUGAGGAAUAUUGGUCAAUGGGCGCGAGCCUGAACCAGCCAAGCAGCGUGAAGGAUGACUGCCCUACGGGUUGUAAACUUCUUUUAUAAAGGAAUAAAGUGAGGCACGUGUGCCUUUUUGUACUUACUUUAUGAAUAAGGAUCGGCUAAGUACGUGCCAGCAGCCGCGGUAAUACGGAGGAUCCGAGCGUUGUCCGGAUUUGUUGGGUUUAAAGGGAGCGUAGAUGGGUUGUUAAGUCAGUUGUGAAAGUUUGCGGCUCAACCGUAAAACUGCAAUUGAUACUGGCAGUCUUGAGUGCAGUUGAGGUAGGCGGAAUUCGUGGUGUAGCGGUGAAAUGCUUAGAUAUCACGAAGAACUCCGAUUGCGAAGGCAGCUUACUAGACUGCCACUGACAUUGAUGCUCGAAAGUGUGGGUAUCAAACAGGAUUAGAUACCCCUAUAGUC
rnacentral:rRNA from 1 species